rnacentral:rRNA from 1 species
GAAGAGGAGCUUGCUUCUUGGAUCAGUGGCGAACGGGUGAGUAACACGUGAGUAACCUGCCCCAAACUCUGGGAUAAGCACUGGAAACGGUGUCUAAUACCGGAUACGAGCUUCAGCCGCAUGGCUAGGAGUUGGAAAGAAUUUCGGUUUGGGAUGGACUCGCGGCCUAUCAGCUAGUUGGUGAGGUAAUGGCUCACCAAGGCGACGACGGGUAGCCGGCCUGAGAGGGUGACCGGCCACACUGGGACUGAGACACGGCCCAGACUCCUACGGGAGGCAGCAGUGGGGAAUAUUGCACAAUGGGCGCAAGCCUGAUGCAGCAACGCCGCGUGAGGGACGACGGCCUUCGGGUUGUAAACCUCUUUUAGUAGGGAAGAAGCGAAAGUGACGGUACCUGCAGAAAAAGCACCGGCUAACUACGUGCCAGCAGCCGCGGUAAUACGUAGGGUGCAAGCGUUGUCCGGAAUUAUUGGGCGUAAAGAGCUCGUAGGCGGUUUGUCGCGUCUGCUGUGAAAACCCGAGGCUCAACCUCGGGCCUGCAGUGGGUACGGGCAGACUAGAGUGCGGUAGGGGAGAUUGGAAUUCCUGGUGUAGCGGUGGAAUGCGCAGAUA